AAUUAUAUACAUUCAAUUCAACAAUUACAAGUAUAGAAAAGUUCGAUUCUAAUUAUACAAACUUACCUCGUAACCUUAGAUAAAACUAUCGGCUAUUCAUCGAUCUUUCCUUUUCCCUGAUCUAAACUUGAUCUCGGCUUAUCUUGAUCUAUAUUAUAUCAAAUUAACUCAUUCAAACUUUCAUUCAAUUCAAUUUAGCCUAAAAC
rnacentral:lncRNA from 1 species